UUAUACAUCAGGUAGUUAUAGUGCUGUUAUACAGUCAGGGUAGUUAUAGUGCUGUUAUACAGUCAGGGUAGUUAUAAUGUUAUAGUGCUGUUAUACAGUCAGGGUAGUUAUAGUGCUGUUAUACAGUCAGGGUAGUUAUAAUGUUAUAGAGCUGUUAUACAGUCAGGGUAGUUAUAAUGUUAUAGAGCUGGGGAAGCAGGAUGCUGGUGGUUCUGUAGACAGAGAUGAAUAAUGC
rnacentral:lncRNA from 1 species